AGUGAACGCUGGCGGUAGGCCUAACACAUGCAAGUCGAACGGCAGCACAGUAAGCGCUUGCUCUUACGGGUGGCGAGUGGCGGACGGGUGAGGAAUACAUCGGAAUCUACUUUUUCGUGGGGGAUAACGUAGGGAAACUUACGCUAAUACCGCAUACGACCUACGGGUGAAAGCAGGGGAUCUUCGGACCUUGCGCGAUUGAAUGAGCCGAUGUCGGAUUAGCUAGUUGGCGGGGUAAAGGCCCACCAAGGCGACGAUCCGUAGCUGGUCUGAGAGGAUGAUCAGGCACACUGGAACUGAGACACGGUCCAGACUCCUACGGGAGGCAGCAGUGGGGAAUAUUGGACAAUGGGCGCAAGCCUGAUCCAGCCAUACCGCGUGGGUGAAGAAGGCCUUCGGGUUGUAAAGCCCUUUUGUUGGGAAAGAAAAGCAGCAGGUUAAUACCCCGCUGUUCUGACGGUACCCAAAGAAUAAGCACCGGCUAACUUCGUG
rnacentral:rRNA from 1 species